AGAACUAAAAAUGCUAGCACACACAAAAAAGGACAUAUAGAAGAGAAACAAAGGGAGAUAAGAAAAGGGACGAACCAAGAAAUCAGGUACUCUUGCCAGACACUGGAAAUCCCUGCCAAAUGCACAAGAAAACUAUCCAAAUUAGGGAAGGUUCAAAAGUUUAUGAAGAUGAUGAUGAAAGGACACUGAGGACAGAAGGUU